GAUGAACGCUGGCGGCGUGCCUAAUACAUGCAAGUCGAGCGAACAGACGAGGCGCUUGCUCCUCUCACGUUAGCGGCGGACGGGUGUGUGACGCGUGUAUAAUCUACUUAUAUGACUGGUAUCACUUCGGAAAACCGGAGCUAAUCCCGGAUAAUAUAUUGAACCGCAUGGUUCAAUAGUGAAAGACGGUUUUGCUGUCACUUCUCGAUGGAUCCGCGCCGCAUUAGCUAGUUGGUAAGUUCACGGCUUACCAAGGCAACGAUGCGUAGCCGACCUGCCAGGCUGAUCGCCCACACUAGAGCGUAGACGCGCACCAGACGCCUACGGGAGGGAGCAGAAGGGUAUCUUCCGCAGUGGGCGAAAGCCUUACGGAACGAGGGCGCGUGAGAUAUGAAGGUGUUCGGAGCGUGAUGCUCUGUUACGAGGUGAGAACAAAUUUGGAAGUAACUAUGCACGUCUUGACGGUAACUAAUCAGAAAGCAACGGCUAACUACGUG
rnacentral:rRNA from 1 species